UAAAAUUUGAGGAUUGGAAGUUAGCUAUACAAUAUUUUGACAAAGAUAUGUAUCUGUUUAAGUUUGAUUUAAAAUCUGGUUAUUUUCACUUAGACAUAUGCUCACAGCAACAGACUUUCUUAGGUUUUCAGUGGGAAGGUCAAUUUUAUUGCUAUACUGUUUUAGCUUUCGGAAUUACUACCGGUCCGUACAUUUUUACUAAAUGUUUGAGGCCACUAGUAAAAUUUUGGCGUGGAAACGGUAUAAAAGUUGUUUUGUAUUUAGAUGAUGGAUUUGGCAUGAGUCCAGAUGAAAAUACAUGUAAUGAGCAAUCGUCCUUCGUAAAAAGGUCUUUGAUUGAUGCUGGUUUCCUUAUUAACGAGGAGAAGUCUGUUUUUUAAACCUGUUACCGAGUUAGAAUGGUUGGGAAUAGUUUGGAACUCGAAAGAAUACAAAUUAUCUAUUACUCAACGUCGAGUUGACGAUUUGAUUUUCUCAUUGAAUGUAAUUUUGGCUAAAUUUCCCUAUGUUACAGCUAGAUCUUUAGCUCAGGUUGUAGGUAGAAUUAUUUCUAUGACUCCCGUAAUCGGAAAUGUGGCUAGAAUUAUGUCAAAGUUCUGUUACAUGGAAAUUGAAAGUAGAAUUGGGUGGGAUAUUCCCAUUACAGGGUACAAACCCGUCGAGGUUUUAUCAGAGUUAAAGUUCUGGUUAGAAAAUGUCACCAUGAUUAACUAUCGUAAUUUAUGUCAUUACAGUAAAUCUUCUGUUGUCAUAUACUCAGAUGCUAGUAAUAUUGCCGCUGGUGCAUACACCGUUGAAUUAGAAAAUAAGAUUUUCCAUAAGAUGUGGACAUGUAGUGAAACGGUACAAAGCUCCACAUGGAGAGAGCUGAAAGCUAUAGAGUUGGCCCUUUUUUCUUUUAAGAAUAGUUUCACAGGAAAAACUAUAAAGUGGUUUACUGACAAUCAAAAUUGUGUCAAAAUUGUUAAUUCGGGAAGUAUGAAAGAAAAUCUUCAUGUUAUAGCAAAAUCUAUUUUUUCAUUUUGCAUUCAAAAAGGAAUAUCAAUUGACAUUCAAUGGGUUCCCAGAAAAGAAAAUGAAAAGGCUGAUUAUAUCAGCAAAAUGGUUGAUUUCGAGGACUGGGGAGUCACACAUAUAUUUUUCAAUUUUUUAAAUGAUAUGUGGGGUCCUUAUUCGAUUGACAGGUUUGCAAGUGUCGAAAAUAGAAAAGUUAUGAGAUUUAACUCCUUAUUUUGGCAACCUGAUUCUGAAGCAGUUGAUGCAUUUUCUCAAGUUUGGACCAAUGAAAAUAAUUGGCUAGUUCCACCAAUUAAUCUUGUGAUACGAUCGAUUAAACACAUUAUAGCUUGUAAAGCUCGAGGCACGUUAGUUGUGCCUAAGUGGAUUUCUGCUGCAUUCUGGCCUUUGAUAUUCGAUAAACAUCUGAUUUAUCAAGAUUACGUAAAAGAUGUUAUUGUGUUUAAAAAUACUGAUGGUAUUUAUAAGCAAGGUUCGAAUAAGAAUACGAUAUUCGGAAUUGAACCGUUUGGUUCGCCAGUUUUGGCUGUUUUGCUAGAUGCAUCUUAGACAUGGCCCUAAUAUAUAUAGAUAUAUUUUAGCAGGCAUGGUCUGUUUGUGACAUGGCCCUAAUAUAUAUAUAGAUAUAUUGUAGCAGUCAUGGUCUGUUUGUGACAUGGCCCUAGUAUAUGUAUAUUGUAGCAGGCAUGGGUGUUUAUGUUGACAUGGCCCUAGUAUCGGUAAUGAUAUUGUAGCAGGCUUGGUUUUUUAUUUGACAUGGCCCUAGUAUCUAUAAUGAUAUUUUAGCAGGCAUGGUAAUUUGUUUUACAGUUUAUGGCCCUAGUAUCUAUAAAGAUAUUGUAGCUGGCGUUGAAAUAUUUGAAUAUAUAUUAUAUUUUACUGUGUAUAGAAAUCUGAAAUAUGCUAAUAAUUCGUCCUCUGUAUAUGUAUAUAAAAUGUUAUUGCAAUUUUACGUUUUUCAGAUAUUUUUUCAGUAGGACAUUGGUCAGACUUUAAUUCACAAGUUGCCUCUAAUAAUGAUCUCAGCAGUUUGUUCAAACAGUUACCAGAAUUCCUUCUUUCGUCCAAGGCUGCGAGUACUCAGAAGAAAUAUAGAUAUGCCUUCAAUUCAUGGUAUUGUGUUUAUAUGUGAUGGCAGCGGUCGAUGACAGCAAAUUGGACAUUUGUUUAUUGUUUAUAAUAAAAAUAAGCUUUCUGUGCUGUCGGGGCGAGCUGAUAACCAAAAACUGUGUUGAGUUUUUACUUUGUAAAUGCUUUAUGUUCGUUUGAAGUAUUGAAUAAGAACA